GCGACUACUUUUAGAAAGGAUACUUGCACUGCUUUCGGUUUUUAGGAGCAGGCAGCACACUUCUAUUGGUUUGGGAAUAAUAGAACUGAUUUCAAAACUCUACAGACAUAUGGGACUAUGAAAAAGGAUAAUCGUAUAACCGUUGAUAAGGUUGUGUGUAGUUGUCGCCCACAUAGGAUAAUGAUAAAUAGUGCGUUGGGCAAGAUGGAAGUCGCAACGGUCUGAAGCCGUGACACGGGAUGGUCUAAUUAACUAGUUAAUCACAUAAAAGAGUACCCCUCCAAAUUAUAUAACACUAUUUAUGAUUAAGAUUUAUAAGAAUUCUGAGCAAAGGAAUUCUCCUAAUAAAGAUGAUGUUAUUCGCGUUCAUGGUUAACUUACAGAGGUCGGAUUUAAGCAGGGUAAUGCAGUUGUUGCUAGGCUCCAUGUGCGUUCACCACAAGUAGGGUGCCUCUUGAGCAAGGGAGGUCAUGCGUUAUUAAAUACAUGUGUUUUUAUGCUAUGUGAAUAAAAACUUGAUGGUACGUUGUUAAGAUAUAGAUAGAGUAGUUAGAAAGCUUAGUUAUUUUUUACAAAGUCAGCUAGUAAGUUAUUGUUAGAGAAUUCUCAAGAGUUUUCAUG
rnacentral:lncRNA from 1 species